GGUGCGGUCGGACGUCCGUGGGUAACCGCGGAUCCCUGUGGCAGGGGCGCGCCAGAUCAUUAAUCGAUGCCCGUUGGGCAUGACUGGAGA
rfam:Dickeya dadantii 3937, complete genome.